GACGAACGCUGGCGGCGUGCCUAAUACAUGCAAGUCGAGCGAAGUUUUUCUGGUGCUUGCACUAGAAAGACUUAGCGGCGCACGGGUGAGUCACACGUAAAGAACCUGCCUCAUAGACUGGGACAACUAUUGGAAACGAUAUCUAAUACCGGAUAACAGUAUUUCUCGCAUGUGAGAUAUUUAAAAGUUGGUUAUGCUAACACUAUGAGAUGUCUUUGCUGUGCAUUAGCUAGUUGGUGGGGUAAAGGCCCACCAAGGCGACGAUGCAUAGCCGACCUGAGAGGGUGAUCGGCCACACUGGGACUGAGACACGGCCCAGACUCCUACGGGAGGCAGCAGUAGGGAAUCUUCCGCAAUGGGCGAAAGCCUGACGGAGCAACGCCGCGUGAGUGAAGAAGGAUUUCGGUUCGUAAAGCUCUGUUGUUAGGGAAGAAUGGAUAUGUAGUAACUAUACAUGUAAGAGACGGUACCUAACCAGAAAGCCACGGCUAACUACGUG
rnacentral:rRNA from 1 species